UGUCUUGGGCUGCACACGUGCUACAAUGGCCGGUACAAUGAGCUGCGAUACCGCAAGGUGGAGCGAAUCUCAAAAAGCCGGUCUCAGUUCGGAUUGGGGUCUGCAACUCGACCCCAUGAAGUCGGAGUCGCUAGUAAUCGCAGAUCAGCAUUGCUGCGGUGAAUACGUUCCCGGGCCUUGUACACACCGCCCGUCACGUCACGAAAGUCGGUAACACCCGAAGCCGGUGGCCCAACCCCUUGUGGGAGGGAGCUGUCGAAGGUGGGACUGGCGAUUGGGACGAAGUCGUAACAAGGUAGCCGUACCGGAAGGUGCGGCUGGAUCACCUCCUUUCUAAGGAGCACUUCUAGGCUGCCACGGCAGUCCAGAGGCCAGCAUGCGGGCGAACGCCCCGCACUGGUUGCUCAUGGGUGGAACGUUGACUACUCGGCACACUUGAUUCUGCUUGUCUUCCCAGUACUGCUUCGGCGUGGAACGGAAGAGAAGAGGACGAGGGUGUCGGGCACGCUGUUGGGUAUCUGAGGGCACGGCCGUAUGGCUGGGUCUUCGGUUGCCGGCCCCAGUGAACUUGCCCGUGAGGGCAGGGUGAUGGGUGGUUGGUCGUUGUUUGAGAACUGCACAGUGGACGCGAGCAUCUGUGGCCAAGUUUUUAAAGGGCGC
rnacentral:sRNA from 1 species